rnacentral:rRNA from 1 species
GUGGCCUCAAAUCAGGUAGGACUACCCGCUGAACUUAAGCAUAUCAAUAAGCGGAGGAAAAGAAACUAACAAGGAUUCCCAUAGUAACUGCGAGUGAAGCGGGAAAAGCUCAAAUUUAAAAUCUGGCAGCCUUGGUUGUCCGAGUUG